rnacentral:rRNA from 1 species
UACGUAGGUGGCAAGCGUUGUCCGGAUUUAUUGGGUUUAAAGGGCGCGUAGGCGGCCUUGUAAGUCAGUGCUGAAAUAUCCCGGCUUAACCGGGAGGGUGGCAUUGAUACUGCAGGGCUUGAGUAAAGUUGAGGUUGGCGGAAUUGACGGUGUAGCGGUGAAAUGCUUAGAUAUCGUCAAGAACACCGAUAGUGAAGACAGCUAACUAAGCUUUAACUGACGCUGAGGCACGAAAGUGUGGGGAUCAAACAGG